UACGUAGGGGGUAAGCGUUGUCCGGAAUCAUUGGGCGUAAAGCGCGCGUAGGCGGCUAGAUCAGUCUGCUGUAAAAGUCAAAGGCUCAACCUUUGAAAGCCGGUGGAUACUGUCUAGCUAGAGUCCGGAAGAGGCGAGUGGAAUUCCUGGUGUAGCGGUGGAAUGCGCAGAUAUCAGGAGGAACACCAACGGCGAAGGCAGCUCGCUGGGACGGUACUGACGCUAAGGCGCGAAAGCGUGGGGAGCGAACAGG
rnacentral:rRNA from 1 species